rnacentral:rRNA from 1 species
UACGUAGGGCGCGAGCGUUGUCCGGAAUUAUUGGGCGUAAAGAGCUCGUAGGCGGCCUGUUGCGUCCGCUGUGAAAUCCCGGGGCUCAACCCCGGGCUUGCAGUGGAUACGGGCUGGCUAGAGGCAGGCAGGGGAGAACGGAAUUCCCGGUGUAGCGGUGAAAUGCGCAGAUAUCGGGAGGAACACCGGUGGCGAAGGCGGUUCUCUGGGCCAUUACUGACGCUGAGGAGCGAAAGCGUGGGGAGCGAACAGG